AGAAGCCCAUCAGUCAAUCUCUUCGCAUCUCUUACUCUUCCACGUCUCUAGCAGCAGACCGGGCGACGCGACGCCGUCAAGCACCAGCCGAGCACCACCGCGCGGUGCUCCACCACCGUACGGUGCACGCCCACGCCACAAAUCCGUUCUUGGCCCCGCCCUCCGAAAUCCGCUGCUGCUGUUAUCCAUCCCGCUCCCAGAUGGAUUCCCGAGUCCCCAAAAAUUGGUGUUCUGUUAUCUAUCUGUUUACUGAUUUGUAUAUUUCCUUCUCUCGUCUGCGUGUGAUGGCCAGGUACUGCUGCUGCCAGUGAGGGACGCAAGAAUCUGCGUGCCAAUACUGUAAAAGGAAGAGUUCUACAAGAACAAGAAGGAAGGGAAAACAGGGCCAGAGUUAAAUUUGUCAACUGCACUUUGUGAUGUUGGUGCUUGGGGUCAGAUGGUGCAUCGAUUGUGGGUAUAAUAUGGUGCAUCGAUUGUGGGUAUAAUUUUUGAAAUAGUAUCCAUGAAGUUUAUUCAAGAGAGCGACUAAUUUUUUAUACUGGAUGAGAACGCUUCCAUCAUAGGCUCCAUCUCAUCCGGUCUAUGUCUUCGAGACGGUCUAUUUUCAACAUUUAUACGAAGAAGAUCUAGCACCAGAGAUUCACCAUCGGGAUUAACACAUUGCUUCGACGACGGUACUAUCUCAAGAUGCAUUAUUAACGAGCUUUCCAAUGACACCAUAUUUGUUUCAGGGAUUUCCUUCCCCUGGUAUACCAAUGACGGAUCAUAAAGAUAGUGGUCAGGAUAGAUGGGACAGGGCCGGGCCGGCAAAAUUGGGGACCCUGUGCGAAACUAAAAUGUGGGGCCCUAUCUCACUAAAAUGAACUAACGAGCAAUUAUGAUAUAAUGUCUUACAUAACAAUUGGUUAUACAAAAAAGCAUACCUAUUCAUACAGCAACAGAUAUCAAUUGGAGAUUAUGUGUCAAUAUUUGGCAAUUAGACGAACCGUCUAACUCAACUAGUCAUGUUUCCUGUCUCUCUAAUGAUCCCUGCCAAAAGUAAUUUGGAAAUAGGAAUAGAAUUAGGAGUACAUACAGUAUAUAAGAAACAAUUUAUAGGAGUAGAAUUAGGAGUACAAUGAGGGCCAUCCAACGUAUAUACAGUGUAUAAGAAACAAUUUUGCUCCCCGAGAACCCGAAUCACAAUAACAAGGUAUAUACCGUAUUGAUAACACAAUAGCUAGCUACUCCCUCCGUUCGGAAUUACUUGUCGCGGAAAUGGAUGUAUCUAGACGUAUUUUAGUUCUAGAUACAUCCAUUUCCGAGACAAGUAAUUCCGAAUGGAGGGAGUAGUAGAUAGCUAGAAUCACAAUAGGUAUAUCAUCGAAUCACAGUAACUAGAAUGAUAGGAUCACAAUAGCUAGCUAGCAGAUAACACUAGAUACUUUCUCAAUAGUCAAUACAUGUAGAAGAGGCGUCAAAAGACAGGCAACAAGUAUAUGAUCGAAAAUUCCUCUCCGAGAACCCGAGAUCAGGAGACUACGAGAGGAAUAAUCGAUGGAUCAUGGAUGCGAACCAAUGAGGGCUGUAAUU